GGAGGUAUAGCUCAGUGAUAGAGCACAUGCUUAGCAUGCAUGCGGGCCUGGGUUCAAGCCCCAGCAUCUA
rnacentral:tRNA from 1 species